AUGCAGGUGGCCAGGCUGUUAUACCCGCUCCAGUGCCCCCGGCCCGGCCCCGGCUGUGCUGCGGCAGCACUGAGGGAAGAGACGCUGGAAACCAGCACUAGCCUCCUUGGUCCUGGUCCCUGGAUAUACUCAGAACUCGUUCUCUCGUGGCUUUUCUACCUGGUCCUGCCUCUUUACAGCGGGACCCACAUUUCUCGACUAGUCUGUCUUGAACAGUCCUCGUUAACCCAUCCGGCUGUGUUUCCUGACCACGGGGCUGCCAGGUACACCGCUGGCACCAGGACGUCCAGCUGGCCUGGCUCAUGGUGUGGUCCCGUUUGCAAGAGCAGGAGUGGAGCCUGGUGGGAUUUACCGGAGCAGCCUGGCUCCCUCUGCGACCCUCCCUCCAGAACAGCGGCCCUGUGACUCCGGGAGGGCGCAGCUCACCAGAGAACAACACGAUGCUGAGACCCGGGUACUGUUUGUCACCGCAGCACACAGACUGGAGCGGCCCAAGAAACAGCAAAAAGACAAAAAAAAAGAAGAGGAAGAAAGUGGAGCCUCGGACCUUUGAAGGAGAGGCUCCCUCCCACCGCACAGCAAGAAGGCACUGUCUGCGAGCCUGGAAAAGGGCCCUCAGCAGAGGGCGGCCCUGCCGGCACCCUGAACGUGGACUUCCAGGCUCCAGAGCUGGAAGGAGCGACCACAGUGGUUUCAGCCGCCCCGUCGGUGGUGUUCAGCUCCAGCAGCCCAGGCUCAGACGCCACAUCACGGCAUUAGGGUGAUUCCUCUUCUCCCGAGUGUCCGGUGUCUCGUUGAAGGAGAACCGCAACCUCGAACCUUUCACCUCUUUGCCCUUCGGUGGGUGCUCUUCAUGAGCAGCCACUUCAGCAAACACACACAGGCAGACCCCCGGCGGGCGGACCUGCGCGCGUCCCCAGUCACGGUGGCACUGCCAACCUAGGUGGCGGCAGAGAGCGCCCCCAGCCCGCCGAGCGAGAGCAGCACGGGGGGUGGGAUGGGGGGGUGGGGGUUGUGGGGGUGAGCGGCCCCGGCCGCCGUGUCGCUGCAGCAGUUUUCAGCCAGGGGGCUUGCCGUCGGAAGCUCAGGGCCGCUGGCUGGGAGGCACGUCGGAGGACCGCAGCCCCAGGCCACUCCCGAUUCAGGCUGGCAGGUAGCGCCGGCCGGGGUGGGGUCGCGAGCGCGGACCCAGACGCGCGGGGCGACGCGUCCCUCCUCCGCAGCCGACUCCGCCCGCGCCCAUCAGUCGCGCUGACAAGGGGACCGGCGGCAGGAGCGCUCAAAGCGCAGACCCGCGCGCCCCCUGCCUUCCGCUCACCCCGCCAGCGGCCGUCACCCCGACCCCGAGACCCCCGGGACCCUGAGUUCCGAGACGCUGGGCCCCCUGAGGCUCCCGGGGUCCCCCGAGCCUUCCAAACACCUCUGACCACCCCCUCGACACUCGCAGGCUCCCGGGACCCCCGGGACCCCCCGAGCCGGGCCAGACAGGGCUCGCGGCCGGGCCUUGAGCCCAACAGCCGCCGGCGGCAGCACAGGCCUCCAGGGAGGCCUCUCAGGACCCGCUCCUUUAGCGGCAGGAAGGAGCUUCGGCGCCGCCUCUCCCCACCGAACGUG
rnacentral:lncRNA from 1 species